rnacentral:rRNA from 1 species
AACGAACGCUGGCGGCGUGCCUAACACAUGCAAGUCGAACGGAGAUAAGAAGCUUGCUUCUUAUUUUAGUGGCGCACGGGUGAGUAACGCGUGGAUAAUCUACCUGAUGCUCUGGGAUAACAUCUCGAAAGGGGUGCUAAUACCGGAUAAGCCCACGAUCUCUUCGGAGAAUGCGGGAAAAGGAGGGGACCUUCGGGCCUUCCGACGUCAGAUGAGUCCGCGUCCCAUUAGCUAGUUGGCGGGGUAAUGGCCCACCAAGGCUACGAUGGGUAGCUGGUCUGAGAGGAUGAUCAGCCACACUGGAACUGAGACACGGUCCAGACUCCUACGGGAGGCAGCAGUGGGGAAUUUUGCGCAAUGGGGGAAACCCUGACGCAGCAACGCCGCGUGAGUGAUGAAGGCUUUCGGGUCGUAAAGCUCUGUCAGAAGGGAAGAAAUGUAGGUGGCUAAUAUCCAUUCUACUUGACGGUACCUUCAAAGGAAGCACCGGCUAACUCCGUGCCAGCCGCCGCCGUAACAC